ACCAGCCUCCAUUUUCGGUUAAUCGAAAUUCCGGCAACAAUAUAUAUAUAUUAGAUCGCCCGGGUCCAUCUAGUGCUCCUCCAGGACAGAAUCAAAGUUAGGAUUUCGCUCUCCAUCACUGUGAGUAAUAAUAAAUAAUGCAUAUCAAUAUUGCAUUUGCAUAGUAAUUAUUUACUAGAUAUAUAUUAUGUCACUAUUACUAUAUAAUUAUAUUUAUGAUUGUACAAUUGGAUGUAUUUGAUGUAUUACUUUGAAAGCAUUGUUUGAUUACUUGUGCUGUGCUA